AACGAGCGCUGGCGGCAGGCCUAACACAUGCAAGUCGAGCGAAGCCUUCGGGCUUAGCGGCGGACGGGUGAGUAACGCGUGGGAACGUGCCCUUUGGUACGGAAUAGCCCCGGGAAACUGGGAGUAAUACCGUAUGUGGUCGAGAGACGAAAGAUUUAUCGCCAAAGGAUCGGCCCGCGUUGGAUUAGGUAGUUGGUGGGGUAAUGGCCUACCAAGCCGACGAUCCAUAGCUGGUUUGAGAGGAUGAUCAGCCACACUGGGACUGAGACACGGCCCAGACUCCUACGGGAGGCAGCAGUGGGGAAUCUUAGACAAUGGGGGAAACCCUGAUCUAGCCAUGCCGCGUGAUCGAUGAAGGCCUUAGGGUUGUAAAGAUCUUUCUGUGGGGAAGAUAAUGACUGUACCCACAGAAGAAGCCCCGGCUAACUCCGUGCCAGCCGCCGCAGUAAGAC
rnacentral:rRNA from 1 species